AUCCUAAGAAAACUAAAGAAUAUUAUUUCUACUACCCUACUGAACAAAAGAUAAUUGUCAGUAGGCAUGCCAUAUUCUUGAAAAAAAAAUUCAUCCAAAAAGGAGGUAGUGGGAGGAGUAUUGAACUUAAGGAAGUUCAAAACCUAUAAAGUGUUCCAAAAUUACCAAUGAAAGUUUCUCAACCAGAAGUAUCGAGUAAUGAGGUAUAUUCGAAAUAUACACCUCC
rnacentral:lncRNA from 1 species